GCAUAAUGUCUACGGACCAAAGUAUGGGACCUUCGGGCCAUAUGCUAUCGGAUGCGCCUACGUGGGAUUAGCUAGUUGGUGUGGUAAUGGCGCACCAAGGCGACGAUCCCUAGCUGGUUUGAGAGGAUGAUCAGCCACACUGGGACUGAGACACGGCCCAGACUCCUACGGGAGGCAGCAGUGGGGAAUAUUGGACAAUGGGCGCAAGCCUGAUCCAGCCAUGCCGCGUGUGUGAAGAAGGCCUUCGGGUUGUAAAGCACUUUCAGUGGGGAGGAAGGGUGUUGUGUUAAUAGCACAGCAUUUUGACGUUACCCACAGAAGAAGCACCGGCUAACUCCGUGCCAGCAGCCGCGG
rnacentral:rRNA from 1 species